rnacentral:lncRNA from 1 species
UGGUCCACAUCUCAUAGUCUUGGGCUUGGAUGAAUAUUCUCAUCCUAGCCUUCCAAUAUGAGUAGUCGGAUCCAUUAAAGAAUGGGGGUCUUUGGGUGGACUGACCCUCAAUGUGGGAAGAUCCAAAUGGGCUUGUCAUUUCGAUCUUUUACUCUUGGGUGGAAGAGUUUAGGCUCUGAUACCACUUGUUGCCCAGAUAGACAACCCAAGAGGGGGGGUGAAUUGGGUUUUAAAAUAAUUUAGCUAUUUAAAACGUUGUGGAUGACUAAUUAAAACUUUUGCAAGUUGUUUAAUUAAUUGCUAUGUGCAGUGUGUGAUAUGAGAGUAAGAGAAAGAGACACAAUCAAUCGCAAACACCAAGUUUUAUAGUGGUUCGGAGCUAACCCUUGCUCC